UAGCCGCCGCGGGAAUACAGAGGGUGCGAGCGUUAAUCGGAUUUACUGGGCGUAAAGCGUGCGUAGGCGGCUUCUUAAGUCGGAUGUGAAAUCCCUGAGCUUAACUUAGGAAUUGCAUUCGAUACUGGGAAGCUAGAGUAUGGGAGAGGAUGGUAGAAUUCCAGGUGUAGCGGUGAAAUGCGUAGAGAUCUGGAGGAAUACCGAUGGCGAAGGCAGCCAUCUGGCCUAAUACUGACGCUGAGGUACGAAAGCAUGGGGAGCAAACAGGAUUAGAGACCCAAGUAGUCCCUGUCUCUUAUAC
rnacentral:rRNA from 1 species